AUACCCCACUUUACCUAGUCAUAAACUUUAACUUACUCUACUUAUUCGCCAGGGGACUACGAGCAAAGCUUAAAACCCAAAGGACUUGACGGUACCCUAUAUAUCCUAGAGGAGCCUGUUCUAUAAUCGAUAAUCCACGUUUUACCUAACCAUUUUUAGCUAAUCAGUCUGUAUACUUCCGUCGUCAACUUACCGCGUGAGCGAAAAGUAAGUAUAAUGAUAUUACAUCAAUACGUCAGGUCAAAGUGCAGCUUAUAAAAUGGUAAGAAAUGGGCUACACUUUCUAAAAUAGAAAAUACGAAAAAUUAUGUGAAAUAAUAAUUAGAAGGCGGAUUUAGAAGUAAAAAGAAAUGAGAAUAUUCUUUUUAAUUUGUACGGGGUGUGUACACACCGCCCGUCACCCUCUUCAAUAUUAACUUUAUUAGUACU
rnacentral:rRNA from 1 species